rnacentral:rRNA from 1 species
ACCUGACUGCUAUCGGAUUGGUACUAAGCCAUGUGAGUCAUUGUAGCAAUACAAGGCAUACGGCUCAGUAACACGUAGUCAAUCUGCCCUAUGGACGUGGAUAACCUCGGGAAACUGAGAAUAAUCCGCGAUAGAUCAUAAUGCCUGGAACGGUUUAUGGUCCAAAUGAUUCGUCGCCAUAGGAUGGGACUGCGGCCUAUCAGCUUGUUGGUGAGGUAAUGGCCCACCAAGGCUAUUACAGGUACGGGCUCUGAGAGGAGAAGCCCGGAGAUGGGUACUGAGACACGGACCCAGGCCCUAUGGGGCGCAGCAGGCGAGAAACCUCUGCAAUGUGCGCAAGCACGACAAGGUUAAUCCGAGUGUUUCCUGCUAAAGGAAUCUUUUGUUAGUUCUAAAACCACUGAUGAAUAAGGGGUGGGCAAGUUCUGGUGUCAGCCGCCGCGGUAAAACCAGCACCUCAAGUGGUCAGGAGGAUUAUUGGGCCUAAAGCAUCCGUAGCCGGUUCUGUAAGUUUCCGGUUAAAUCCACUAGCUCAACUAAUGGGCUGCCGGAAAUACUGCAGAACUAGGGAGUGGGAGAGGUAGACGGUACUCGGGAGGAAGGGGUAAAAUCCUUUGAUCUCUUGAUGACCACCUGUGGCGAAGGCGGUCUACCAGAACACGUUCGACGGUGAGGGAUGAAAGCUGGGGGAGCAAACCGGAUUAGAUACCCGGGUAGUCCCAGCUGUAAACGAUGCAGACUCGGUGAUGCACUGGCUUUUGGCCAGUGCAGUGCCGCAGGGAAGCCGUUAAGUUUGCCGCCUGGGAAGUACGUACGCAAGUAUGAAACUUAAAGGAAUUGGCGGGGGAGCACCACAAGGGGUGAAGCCUGCGGCUCAAUUGGAUUCAACGCCGAAA